GGCCUGCCUCGGCUGUAGCCCCCAGUACCGCCGCCAUUUUGUUCGCGUCGGGCCGGGGGCUGCGGGCGGGAUGUCGGCCUUCUCGGAGGCGGCGCUGGAGCGGAAGCUGUCGGAGCUGAGCAACUCGCAGCAGAGCGUGCAGACGCUGAGCCUCUGGCUCAUCCACCACCGCAAGCACUCGGCGCUCAUCGUCAGCGUCUGGGAGCGCGAGCUGCGCAAAGCAAAGUCAAACAGGAAGCUUACUUUCCUAUACCUGGCCAAUGAUGUAAUUCAGAACAGCAAAAGGAAAGGACCAGAAUUUACAAAAGACUUUGCACCGGUUAUAGUGGAGGCUUUUAAGCAUGUUUCCAGUGAGUCUGAUGAGAGUUGUAAGAAGCACCUUGGCCGAGUACUCUCUAUCUGGGAAGAGAGGUCUGUUUAUGAAAACGAUGUAUUAGAACAACUUAGGCAAGCAUUGUAUGGUGACAAGAAGGGUAAGAAGCGCACGUAUGAGCAGAUACAAGUUGAAGACAACAACGGUUCAGCCCGAAGUUCUCCAACUGACCCUCCACAGACUACAGAUCUCAUUAGAGCAUUACAAGAACUAGAGAAUGCUGCCUCAGGAGAUGCAGCUGUUCAUCAGCGGAUAGCUUCAUUGCCUGUAGAAGUCCAAGAUGUGUCCUUGCUAGAUAGAAUAACAGAUAAGGAAUCUGGAGAACAACUUUCCAAAAUGGUAGAUGAUGCAUGUAUGUUGCUGGCGGAUUACAAUGGCAGGUUGGCGGCUGAAAUAGAUGAUAGAAAACAACUAACUCGAAUGUUGUCAGACUUUCUCCGAUGUCAAAAAGAAUUCCUUGCAGAGAAAGAGCAUAAGUUGGAAGUGUUGAGACACAGAGCAGUAUCUGUUUCCUGGACUGCCACCUCAGGAACUUGGUUUCUCGAGUGUGAUGCACUCUCAAGUAUGUGUUCUCUUGCUACACUGCUCCAUCUGCACACAAAAAAAUGCCUGUGUCCCUGAAGCACUCCACUGCAAGUGGAAGUCAUAGACUUUUUCCCCUUUUGGGUGGGAAGAGAAUGCCCUCAGGAAAACCAUAUCAUGGAUGUAUUAAUAUAUCACAAUAGAUGUGGCAGCUCACGGCCACAAAUAGGAAUAGCAUCAGUACUUGAUCAAGGAGAAGGUCCUGAAGACAUCAUACAAGAAAUAAUGCGAUACCAGCUGUGUUGGAGAUGCAGGGAUGGCAACAUACUUGCUAUAAGGAGCUGUCACUCAUACUGAACAGAGACCCGUUCAUUGAGUCCUCACAGAUUUGAGGGUGAAUCCAGAGCUAUCCAGUGAGAGUGGUGAUGUGUACCUGGAGGACCAUGAGGAGAUUCUUGCCCUCCCAGGCACAGUUCCAGCAGGGGCAGAAGGAUAUUGGGGAGUCUCGCCUCUUCCUGUCUAGGACUGCUGAGAAAUAUGUACCAGCCCUCAGGACAGGACAGCUUGAAUGGCGUCAGCAUCAGGGAGGACCAGCUGACCACCAUAUUGUCUAUCCAUCCCACCCUCAUAACCAGCUGUCCUGCCAUCAUCCCACAACACCAUCGUGCUGUUGUCCCACAUGUUCCUUCUGCUACCCUCUCUCCUGACAGCCCUGGCCCUUACCACUUCCUUUCAGCACCUUAGGGCCAGUUGCUUGGAGGAAAUGCUAAGGCAUGAUGGCUCAGAGGGAAUGCCUGAAUAGCUGGACACCAACCUGACUGGGUCCAAACCUGCAGCCAUGACUGGUCCAACAAGUGCUGAUAGAGGUUUGAAGGACACAAGCUGAGACUGCAGCUUAGAGAGGAGCAAAGAUGAAGAAAAGUGGGGGGGGGAAGCAAAAAGCAAAGACUUGGUAGCAUCCCCAGAGAAGAGAACUAUGGGAUCAGAAGAUUGGCAUUUUUGGAUGGAGAACCAUAGGGACCAUUGUGCUGACCUGGUUAGAAGCAGUGUUUCCUAGACCAUGUGUACUGUUGUGUUUCAGGCACAGCAAAAUGCUGAAGCCACCACUGAGGAAGCUGGCCUGGAAAAGCAGACCAUGGACAUGCUGGUGCAGAACCUACAUACAGAGACGCAUGUCAGUCUCUCAUAGACACUUUCAGUUAGCAGAUAGAGAGCACUUAACCCAUUCUCCAUUUUACCCACAAUGGCUGGACCUAUCCCUGCUGAUCCAUAGGCACUGGACUUUGUGCUCCUACCUCUGCACCAGCACUUUCCACCUGACUUCUAAAUAACCCCUCCAGCUCCAUGCCCUCCCCAAUGGAUAAACCUUUGUGCUUUAGACAGGGCCCCCUAGCCCUUGCACCCAUGUCUUCUAAUCCCACACCUCUACUCCGUGCCCUUAAUUACACAUCCCCUACUGAGAAGAAGACCAAGCCUUUGUGUCCAAGUACUCUCCCCUUCCCUCUCCCCAUGCCUCUCUUUUAUCUAGCCCUUUCAAACAACCUAGCCAGCCACUAUACUAUGAGACCCCAGCACCCCUACUCCAGCACUGGAUGGAGCUCCAGAAUGCUGUCCCCCCCAGAAGAUUUGGACACACGGAGGCAAAAACAGAAGUCUUUGACCUUGUGGGGUCUUACACGCUUCAUCACAGAGGAAAACUGUGGUGUGGGACUAGUCCCUUUGAUCCCUUCAACUAAGUGGGUUAGCAUGCUGUUCUGUCACUCUCCUCGAGGACUUAGUGAGCCAUUGUUGGCAAGGCUUGUGGGCCAUUUUCAGGGAGCAUUCUUUCCCCUUCCUUUCCUUCAGUUCACCUAACAGUCACCACAUACCUCAUUCCUCCUUCCAGUUUGCAAAACACUUUCUUUAUUUCAAGAGCACAGCACACAGUAUUUAAAUGUUUUAAAAUGUUUAAUAAAAUGUUCUUUGGGUCUAAAC